rnacentral:piRNA from 1 species
UAAACGAUCAAUAACUACCUACCCACAAUGA